UGGCGGCUGUAGCGCGGUGGUCCCACCUGACCCCAUGCCGAACUCAGAAGUGAAACGCCGUAGCGCCGAUGGUAGUGUGGGGUCUCCCCAUGCGAGAGUAGGGAACUGCC
rnacentral:rRNA from 1 species